rnacentral:sRNA from 1 species
AAAAAGUUUGAAUGCCGAAGACAGUAAGUGCUUUAAAGCUCAAUUUCUUACCGAGGGAUGAAUUCUUAAAUAUAAAAUUUAAGUCUUUAUGCCUCGCAUGAAGACUUUUUUGAUAU